rnacentral:piRNA from 1 species
UGCCAAUGGGAAUUGCAUGAGUUUAUGCCAU